AGCUUUGCGCAGUGGCAGUAUCGUAGCCAAUGAGGUUUAUCCGAGGCGCGAUUAUUGCUAAUUGAAAAAUAACUGAUACUCUUGAAACUUACAGUUUAAUUCGGUUUUGGGUGUUUUUUUGUUUUGCUUUUAUUUA
rnacentral:snRNA from 11 species